ACCUGGUGUGGAAGCUGGGAAAAAAGCUGCUGGAGAAGUUCUUGCUCUUCAAAAGCGUGUCCUUCAAGUACUUAAUGAGGCCAGCUGUAAACAGCCUGUUGAACCACUUACUCUGGAUGAAAUAGCUGAACGUUGUCAUUGUGAAGACGAUAUUGAAAUGAUCUAUAAGAUUAUUGCACACAUGGCUGCUAAUGACAGAGCACUUAUUGCCGAAGGUAAUUGUGGUACUCCUCACAGCAUAAAAGUUUAUCUGGGAGAGUGCAAUGUUGACGACUUGUAUGCCUAGAUCUUGCAUUGAACAUUCUGAUGUUUCUACAUACAUCCGAGAAAUACAUAUGUGCCCAAGAUAGGGUCCGGCCUUAUGGUGGCUGAUUAUUGGGGAUUCCUAACUUAAAAUAUCCAUUUUUUUUUCUUUUCAAAGCACCAUCAUGUUCACAUCUGUUAGCUGUAUCAGAGAGCAUAUUGCUUCCCCAUGAUCAAAUAAAUUUCAGAAAGCUGAGUUUGUUGACACUGCUGCUGUUUAUAAUAUGCUUUUCAUCACCCUCUUUUUUCUUAUUGAUUUGGACAUACA
rnacentral:misc_RNA from 1 species